rfam:Triticum aestivum genome assembly, contig: Triticum_aestivum_CS42_TGACv1_scaffold_227373_3B
GUAGUACUCCCUCCGUCCGAAAAUACUUGUCGACCAAAUGGAUAAAAAGAUAUGUAUCUAGAAUUAAAAUACGUCUAGAUACAUCCCUUUUUAUCCAUUUUGAUGACAAGUAUUUCCACACGGAGGGAGUAGGUG